rnacentral:rRNA from 1 species
UACGUAGGGUGCUAGCGUUGUUCGGAAUCAUUGGGCGUAAAGCGCGUGUAGGUGGUUAACUAAGUCGGGUGUGAAAUCCCUAGGCUCAACCAAGGAAGUGCAUUCGAAACUAGUUAACUAGAAGAUGGUAGAGGAAGGUGGAAUUCCAGGUGUAGAGGUGAAAUUCGUAGAUACCUGGAGGAAUACCGGUGGCGAAGGCGGCCUUCUGGACCAUCCUUGACACUAAGACGCGAAAGCGUGGGUAGCAAACAGG